rnacentral:rRNA from 1 species
GAUGAACGCUGGCGGCGUGCCUAAUACAUGCAAGUCGAGCGAAUGGAUUAAGAGCUUGCUCUUAUGAAGUUAGCGGCGGACGGGUGAGUAACACGUGGGUAACCUGCCCAUAAGACUGGGAUAACUCCGGGAAACCGGGGCUAAUACCGGAUAACAUUUUGAACCGCAUGGUUCGAAAUUGAAAGGCGGCUUCGGCUGUCACUUAUGGAUGGACCCGCGUCGCAUUAGCUAGUUGGUGAGGUAACGGCUCACCAAGGCAACGAUGCGUAGCCGACCUGAGCGGGUGAUCGGCCACACUGCGACUGAGACACGGCCCAGACUCCUACGGGAGGCAGCAGUAGGGAAUCUUCCGCAAUGGACGUAAGUCUGGCGGAGCAACGCCGCGUGAGUGAUGAAGGCUUUCGGGUCGUAAAACUCUGUUGUUAGGGAAGAACAAGUGCUAGUUGAAUAAGCUGGCACCUUGACGGUACCUAACCAGAAAGCCACGGCUAACUACGUGCCAGCCGCCGCCGUAA